AAACAUUUUUUCUGUGUUCCUAUAUAUAGUUUAUAUAGAAACACUUGUGGAAGUUUGGGAGAAAUCGUUUCUCCCAAACUUCCACGCGUGUUUCUAUAACUCUGUAUAGAAACACGGAAAUGUUUUCUA